rnacentral:rRNA from 1 species
GAUGAACGCUGGCGGCGUGCCUAAUACAUGCAAGUCGAGCGAACAGACGAGGAGCUUGCUCCUCUGACGUUAGCGGCGGACGGGUGAGUAACACGUGGAUAACCUACCUAUAAGACUGGGAUAACUUCGGGAAACCGGAGCUAUUACCGGAUCUUAUAUUGACCCGCAUGGUUCAUUGGUGAAAGCCGUUUUUGCGGUCCCUUUUGCAGGUAUCCGCGCCGCAUUAGCUAGUUGGUAAGGUAACGGCUUACCAAGGCAACGCUGCGUAGCCGACCUGAGAGGGUGAUCGGCCACACUGGAACUGAGACACGGUCCAGACUCCUACGGGAGGCAGCAGUAGGGAAUCUUCCGCAAUGGGCGAAAGCCUGACGGAGCAACGCCGCGUGAGUGAUGAAGGUCUUCGGAUCGUAAAACUCUGUUAUUAGGGAAGAACAAAUGUGUAAGUAACUAUGCACGUCUUGACGGUACCUAAUCAGAAAGCCACGGCUAACUACGUG